rnacentral:rRNA from 1 species
GAUGAACGCUGGCGGCGUGCCUAAUACGUGCAAGUCGAGCGAACGGACGAGAAGCUUGCUUCUCUGAUGUUAGCGGCGGACGGGUGAGUAACACGUGGAUAACCUACCUAUAAGACUGGGAUAACUUCGGGAAACCGGAGCUAAUACCGGAUAAUAUUUUGAACCGCAUGGUUCAAAAGUGAAAGACGGUCUUGCUGUCACUUAUAGAUGGAUCCGCGCUGCAUUAGCUAGUUGGUAAGGUAACGGCUUACCAAGGCAACGAUGCAUAGCCGACCUGAGAGGGUGAGCGGACACACUGGAACUGAGACACGGUCCAGACUCCUACGGGAGGCAGCAGUAGGGAAUCUUCCGCAAUGGGCGAAAGCCUGACGGAGCAACGCCGCGUGAGUGAUGAAGGUCUUCGGAUCGUAAAACUCUGUUAUUAGGGAAGAACAUAUGUGUAAGUAACUGUGCACAUCUUGACGGUACCUAAUCAGAAAGCCACGGCUAACUACGU